AAAGAAACUAACAAGGAUUCCCCUAGUAACGGCGAGUGAAGAGGGAAGAGCUCAAAUUUUAAAUCUGCCUUGUUUCAAGGUCGAGUUGUAAUUUGAAGAAGCGUUUUCUUGGGCCCGCGGCCGGUAGAAGUUCUUUGGAACAGGACAUCAUAGAGGGUGACAAUCCCGUCUGCGACCGGUCGUGUGUUCAUCUACGAUACGCUUUCAAAGAGUCGAGUUGUUUGGGAUUGCAGCUCCAAAUGGGUGGUAAACAUCACCUAAGGCUAAAUAUUGGCGAGAGACCGAUAGCGAACAAGUACCGUGAGGGAAAGAUGAAAAGAACUUUGAAAAGAGAGUUAAACAGUACGUGAAAUUGUUGAAAGGGAAACGAUUGAAGUCAGUCGUGCUGGCGCGAAAUCAACCCUCUCGUCGAGAGGACACAUGGCGUGGCGAGCCUCAAAACCGUCACGAAGCGUGAACUCUUGGCGAAAAGGAGCACUUUCGUGUCCGCUGGUUAACAUCAAUUUCGAACGUCAUAAAAAGGCUGGAGGGAUGUGGCUCCUUCGGGAGUGUUAUAACCUUUAGCGGAAUGUGGUGGUCGGGAUUGAGGAUUGCAACGAAUACCUUUAGGGCUGUUCCACCUGGCCUCUCUUUGGUAUCCUGGUGACGACAGCUUGCUGACGUCGUUAGGAUUCGCCAUUGAACAGGCUAGAGUGUGAGCAAAUUCGUUAAGGAUGUUG
rnacentral:rRNA from 1 species